GCCUGGUGUGGGAGCAGGAACAGAGCUGCAGCUUCCUCCCAGGUGGCUGGUGGGCCUAUGAGCCUGGUGAUGAGUGUGCAGCGCCUAGCAUCCCUGAUGAUCUCAAUGCUGACUUCUGCACAGCCUCAAAUUCAUAUCCAGCAUCACCUUGCUGGCCUGGAGGUGCAAAGCCUGCACCUGACAGAGGCCAACACCUGGAGGGCAUCCAGAUGUACCAGGCCACAUCCACAUCUCUGCAGGUGAAGUGAGCUGGCUCCUAGGAGAAGGUGGGUGAAGAGGAAAGCUGUCUGGACCCCGGUCAAGUUCCAGGUGGCCUGUGUGGCUGUCACAGUUGCGAUGCAUCUUCUCUUUCUGGUUGCCUUCUCCUGGAUGCUAACUGAGGGACUACUGCUAUGGAGCAAGGUGGUAGCUGUGAGUGUGUGCCCAGGCCCCAGGAUGAGGCUGCACUAUGCUGCAGGCUGGGGUGAGGACCCUUGUUCUUGUCUCCAUCACUGCUCAACA